UAUUUCAAAAUCCCAUUCCGAAAAUUGGAAAUGAGGUAGAUGGGAUUUUCUAUUGAUUCUAGGUGAAAAGAAUCCUAACUAGUUGGAACUUGGUAAAUUUUACUCACUGUAGAUUUUUUCACUUAAGAGUCUGUUUGGGGAUGCUGUAGUUUUUUAUCAAAAAUUAAUUUUUAAUAAAAGCUGCAUUUUGAUAUUGUUGCUGCUUAAAUCGGUUGAGGCCAGAAGAUGGAUGGUUG
rnacentral:lncRNA from 1 species